rnacentral:tRNA from 1 species
GCUCUUAUGGUGUUAAUGGUCAGCAACUCUGGACUUCGGAAUCCAGCGAGCGAUCCGGGUUCAAAUCCCGGUAGGAGCU